GACGAACGCUGGCGGCGUGCCUAAUACAUGCAAGUCGAACGCAGUGGGGACGGGUGAGUAACACGUGGGUAACCGCCCAUCAGAGGGGAUAACACUUGGAAACAGGUGCUAAACCGAUACUGAUGGAUGAACCAGCGGUGCAUUAGCUAGGUGGGGAGGUAACGGCUGAGCAAGGCCACGAUGCAUAGGCUACCUGAGAGGGUGAUCGGCCACACUGUGACUGAUACACGGCCCAGACUCCUACGGGAGGCAGCAGUGGGGAAUAUUGGACAAUGGGCGAAAGCCUGAUCCAGCCAUGCCGCGUUUGUGAAGAAGGCCUUCGGGUUGUAAAGUACUUUCAGCGGGGAGGCGUUACCCGCAGAAGAAGCACCGGCUUACUCCGUGCCAGCAGCCGCGGUAAUAC
rnacentral:rRNA from 1 species